AUAGGGGUAGAGAUCGUUUGUGCCAGCGUAUUUUUUCACUAGGUGCCAGCGCAUUUUAUAGGGGUAGAGAUCGUUUGUGCCAGCGCAUUUUUUCACUAGGUGCCAGCGCAUUUUUUUAGGGGUGGAGAUGCAUUGGCCUAUUACUGUUCAUUGAAGUCUAUUAUUGUUCACUGGAGUGGAUAAAUGAGCUGAGUGCUGGCACAAAGUCCUUAGGAGUGGACUUGCUCUAAAAGUGAUGUUUGGAAGGUUGGAGGUUGGGGGUACAGUUGGAGCAGGGGGAUUGGGGAUUGAAAGAUGUGAGGUUGAAGGGACGGUUAGAAAAGUAAUGGUGGAGAAAGAAGGAGAAAAGAUGAAAGAUAAAGCCUGAAGUUGAUGGAGAAGACAAACCUUAAUUGAAAGAUCAAUGAAACUACUGAGAAACUACACAUAUAUAAUCAUAAGUAGUAAUCGUAAUUGUAAUGAAUGUGGAAAGAGACAUAUAGCAGUCGCUUAGCAUUUGCACUUGAAGAGAAAGAAAACUAAAAAUUAAAAAAAUUGCUGCAAAAUUGCAAAUCAAUUGAUUAAGAGCAUAUGCUCUUGUACUCGAAUUCUUAUGUUCCAUUUCCCCUUAAUCAAAAUUUUGCUUGUAUAAGAAACAAAAAACGUAAUACGCAAACAAACCAAAACUGAUGCAAAG
rnacentral:lncRNA from 1 species